CUAACACAUGCAAGUCGAACGAAGUUACACAGAGGAAGUUUUCGGAUGGAAUCAGUAUAACUUAGUGGCGGACGGGUGAGUAACGCGUGGGAAACCUGCCCUGUACCGGGGGAUAACACUUAGAAAUAGGUGCUAAUACCGCAUAAGCGCACGGAACUGCAUGGUUCUGUGUGAAAAGCUCCGGUGGUACAGGAUGGUCCCGCGUCUGAUUAGCCAGUUGGCAGGGUAACGGCCUACCAAAGCGACGAUCAGUAGCCGGCCUGAGAGGGUGAACGGCCACAUUGGGACUGAGACACGGCCCAAACUCCUACGGGAGGCAGCAGUGGGGAAUAUUGCACAAUGGGGGAAACCCUGAUGCAGCGACGCCGCGUGAGUGAAGAAGUAUUUCGGUAUGUAAAGCUCUAUCAGCAGGGAAGAAAAUGACGGUACCUGACUAAGAAGCCCCGGCUAACUACGUGCCAGCAGCCGCGGUAAUACGUAGGGGGCAAGCGUUAUCCGGAUUUACUGGGUGUAAAGGGAGCGUAGACGGCAUGGCAAGCCAGAUGUGAAAACCCAGGGCUCAACCUUGGGAUUGCAUUUGGAACUGCCGGGCUGGAGUGCAGGAGAGGUAAGCGGAAUUCCUAGUGUAGCGGUGAAAUGCGUAGAUAUUAGGAGGAACACCAGUGGCGAAGGCGGCUUACUGGACUGUAACUGACGUUGAGGCU
rnacentral:rRNA from 1 species